CAGCUGACGGAGGAAAGACUAACAAGGAUUCCCCUAGUAACGGCGAGUGAAGCGGGAACAGCUCAAAUUUGUAAUCUGGCGGCCUUCGGUCGUCCGAGUUGUAAUCUGGAGAAGCGUUUUCAGUGCCGGCCCGCGUACAAGUCCCCUGGAACGGGGCGUCCAGAGGGUGAGAAUCCCGUCUCUGACGCGGUAUGCCGGCGCGCUGCGAUGCGCUCUCGAAGAGUCGAGUUGUUUGGGAAUGCAGCUCAAAACGGGUGGUAAAUUCCAUCUAAAGCUAAAUACUGGCGAAAGACCGAUAGCGAACAAGUACCGUGAGGGAAAGAUGAAAAGCACUUUGGAAAGAGAGUCAAACAGUACGUGAAAUUGUUGAAAGGGAAACGCUUGAAGUCAGUCGCGUCUCCCGGGACUCAGUCGCGC
rnacentral:rRNA from 1 species